UCUGGUAUUGAUUGGUGCUUGCAUCAUGAUUUACAUUUGAGUGAGUGGCGAACUGGUGAGUAACACGUGGGAAACCUGCCCAGAAGCGGGGGAUAACACCUGGAAACAGAUGCUAAUACCGCAUAACAACUUGGACCGCAUGGUCCGAGCUUGAAAGAUGGCUUCGGCUAUCACUUUUGGAUGGUCCCGCGGCGUAUUAGCUAGAUGGUGGGGUAAUGGCUCACCAUGGCAAUGAUACGUAGCCGACCUGAGAGGGUAAUCGGCCACAUUGGGACUGAGACACGGCCCAAACUCCUACGGGAGGCAGCAGUAGGGAAUCUUCCACAAUGGACGAAAGUCUGAUGGAGCAACGCCGCGUGAGUGAAGAAGGGUUUCGGCUCGUAAAACUCUGUUGUUAAAGAAGAACAUAUCUGAGAGUAACUGUUCAGGUAUUGACGGUAUUUAACCAGAAAGCCACGGCUAACUACGUGCCAGCAGCCGCGGUAAUACGUAGGUGGCAAGCGUUGUCCGGAUUUAUUGGGCGUAAAGCGAGCGCAGGCGGUUUUUUAAGUCUGAUGUGAAAGCCUUCGGCUCAACCGAAGAAGUGCAUCGGAAACUGGGAAACUUGAGUGCAGAAGAGGACAGUGGAACUCCAUGUGUAGCGGUGAAAUGCGUAGAUAUAUGGAAGAACACCAGUGGCGAAGGCGGCUGUCUGGUCUGUAACUGACGCUGAGGCUCGAAAGUAUGGGUAGCAAACAGGAUUAGAUACCCUGGUAGUCCAUACCGUAAACGAUGAAUGCUAAGUGUUGGAGGGUUUCCGCCCUUCAGUGCUGCAGCUAACGCAUUAAGCAUUCCGCCUGGGGAGUACGGCCGCAAGGCUGAAACUCAAAGGAAUUGACGGGGGCCCGCACAAGCGGUGGAGCAUGUGGUUUAAUUCGAAGCUACGCGAAGAACCUUACCAGGUCUUGACAUACUAUGCAAAUCUAAGAGAUUAGACGUUCCCUUCGGGGACAUGGAUACAGGUGGUGCAUGGUUGUCGUCAGCUCGUGUCGUGAGAUGUUGGGUUAAGUCCCGCAACGAGCGCAACCCUUAUUAUCAGUUGCCAGCAUUAAGUUGGGCACUCUGGUGAGACUGCCGGUGACAAACCGGAGGAAGGUGGGGAUGACGUCAAAUCAUCAUGCCCCUUAUGACCUGGGCUACACACGUGCUACAAUGGAUGGUACAACGAGUUGCGAACUCGCGAGAGUAAGCUAAUCUCUUAAAGCCAUUCUCAGUUCGGAUUGUAGGCUGCAACUCGCCUACAUGAAGUCGGAAUCGCUAGUAAUCGCGGAUCAGCAUGCCGCGGUGAAUACGUUCCCGGGCCUUGUACACACCGCCCGUCACACCAUGAGAGUUU
rnacentral:rRNA from 1 species